CCCCUAGUAACUGCGAGUGAAGCGGGAAAAGCUCAAAUUUAAAAUCUGGCAGUCUUUGGCUGUCCGAGUUGUAGUCUGGAGAAGCGUCUUCCGCGCUGGACCGUGUACAAGUCUCUUGGAACAGAGCGUCAUAGAGGGUGAGAAUCCCGUCUUUGACACGGACUACCAGUGCUUUGUGAUGCGCUCUCAAAGAGUCGAGUUGUUUGGGAAUGCAGCUCAAAAUGGGUGGUGAAUUCCAUCUAAAGCUAAAUAUUGGCGAGAGACCGAUAGCGAACAAGUACCGUGAGGGAAAGAUGAAAAGCACUUUGGAAAGAGAGUUAAACAGUACGUGAAAUUGCUGAAAGGGAAACGCUUGAAGUCAGUCGCGUUGGUUAGAACUCAACCUGGCUCUUUGGCUUGGUGCAUUUUCUAGCAAACGGGCCAACAUCAGUUUUGGCCGCUGGAAAAAGGCCUUGGGAAUGUGGCACCUUCGGGUGUGUUAUAGCCCAGGGUUGUAUACAGCGGCUGGGACUGAGGACCGCAGCACGCCUUUAUGGCCGGGGUUUGCCCACGUUUACGUGCUUAGGAUGUUGGCGUAAUGGCUUUAAACGACCCGUCUUGAAACACGGACCAAGGAGUCUAACAUACCUGCGAGUGUUUGGGUGGAAAAUCCGAGCGCGCAAUGAAAGUGAAAGUUGGGAUCCCUGUCGCGGGGAGCACCGACGCCCAUACCAGACCUUCUGUGACGGAUAUGCGGUUGAGCAUGUAUGUUGGGACCCGAAGAUGGUGAACUAUGCCUGAAUAGGGUGAAGCCAGAGGAAACUCUGGUGGAGGCUCGUAGCGAUUCUGACGUGCAAAUCGAUCGUCAAAUUUGGGUAUAGGGGCGAAAGACUAAUCGAACCAUCUAGUAGCUG
rnacentral:rRNA from 1 species